AACGCAUCUUGCACCCUGUGGUAUUCCGCAGGGUAUAUCUGUCUGAGUGUCAUUACCAUCUCAACCUUACAAAUUUUGUAAUGAAGUUUGUAAUGGAUUGGAACGUGGGCUUAUCAGGCGGGGUUCGCCGCGCCGGCCUUAAAGUGAGUAGGUUGACCUGCCCUUAGCGGUUUGACCGGGUGUUGUAGUCGCCUCACUCGGGACGCUGAUUGGGAUUAGCCAAAAUUACUAAUCGAUUACGAUUCGAUUUACGACUUUUUGUAUGCAAUUACAAAAAAAGUAAGUCCUAGGGUAAUCGCAUUAAUCGAAGCGAUUUAGACCUCAGAUCAGAUAGGAUUAUCCGCUGAACUUAA
rnacentral:rRNA from 1 species